GCUGGCGCCUCUCCCUCCACACCUCCCUGCAAGCUGAGGGAGCCGGCUCUGGCCUUGGCCAGCCUAGAAAGGGGCUCCCACAGUGCAGUGGUGGGCUGAAGGGCUCCUCAAAUGCCGCCAAAGUGGGAGCCCAGGCAGAGGAGGUGCCAAGAGCAAGCGAGGGCUCUGAGGACUGCCAGCACGCUGUCACCUGUCAUUAUCAACAACUUGACUAAAAUACCUCUGUGUUUGAAGAGGAAGCCAGAGAAAUUAGAAACAAGAGAAACAUUUGAUGCAUUAUUGCUGACUUGAAGAUGGAGAGAGGUUCCCCUGAGCAUACAGGAGUACUCCAUGAAGACUGCAAUGGCUUCCCUCUCACAAACUGCAUGCACGUCCAGCAGCUCCUGGAGUGUGUCUGUGGGGAAUCUCACUUGCUGGGCCAUCUGCUGGCUGUAGUGGUUGGCUGCCCUCUGCACGGCUGCUGAGUUCUCACACUGGGCCAGAACUGCCAUUGCAUUCUCCAGACAAGGAGUCGCUCCACUGUUGAUGGCAUCCAGAGACCAUCAAGCUUCAGAAGAUCAUGUGACAAAUGUUCCAGCCAGUUCCAGUUGAAGACACCACCCCUGGCCAUCAAGAAGCUACUCUGCCUCCACUAGACAGAGCAGGGUGACAGUUCCGUGAUCCCCAAUAGGUAGGGACUUUGCUUCAAGCCAGCAUGAGGCAGUUACAGAAGAAAGACCAUUAGUCACUCCACCUCCCAUAAAGAUUUAUGGGGAUGACAUCUCUCAGGGAGGAAAUGAGGCAGGAAAAUAGGAUCUGGAGGCAUAGAACAUAAGGCCUAUUCACACUUCAGCUAUGCCGGGAAAUAUUAUCUCCAUUUACAUAGGGCAUACACAAAGUAACCAAUGGAAACCUCUAGAGGGUAUUUAAAUCCCCCAAAAUUCUGUAACAGGACCCUUGAGCCCCUAUGCUUGGGCCCACUCCCACACUGUGGAGUGUACUUCCAUUUUCAAUAAAUAUCUGCUUUUGUUGCUUCA